GAUGAACGCUGGCGGCGUGCCUAAUACAUGCAAGUCGAGCGAACGGACGAGAAGCUUGCUUCUCUGAUGUUAGCGGCGGACGGGUGAGUAACACGUGGAUAACCUACCUAUAAGACUGGGAUAACUUCGGGAAACCGGAGCUAAUACCGGAUAAUAUUUUGAACCGCAUGGUUCAAAAGUGAAAGACGGUCUUGCUGUCACUUAUAGGUGGAUCCGCGCUGCAUUAGCUAGUUGGUAAGGUAACGGCUUACCAAGGCAACGAUGCAUAGCCGACCUGAGAGGGUGAUCGGCCACACUGGAACUGAGACACGGUCCAGACUCCUACGGGAGGCAGCAGUAGGGAAUCUUCCGCAAUGGGCGAAAGCCUGACGGAGCAACGCCGCGGGAGUGAUGAAGGUCUUCGGAUCGUAAAACUCUGUUAUUAGGGAAGAACAUAUGUGUAAGUAACUGUGCACAUCUUGACGGUACCUAAUCAGAAAGCCACGGCUAACUACGUG
rnacentral:rRNA from 1 species